UGAAGAGGAACAGAAAGAACGAGGACAGCAAAGAACAAGACGAAUAAGAACAAGAAGAAGGUUUCAAGACGCUUAUCCUGCAAUUUUGUAUCAUUCGUUUUGGCUUUUUUUUUCCCCCGUGACUGGCAUCUGACUGGAUCUUUUUUAUGUUACACUUUUGUUGCCCUUGGCCGGUGUCUCUUUUACGUAAUAAAAAUAAAAAAAUAACAAUAGCAAGGAGAACGAGAAAAACACCAUGAAAGAACAAGAACAAGACCACUAACAAAAACAAGAAGAAAACAAAGUGAUAAAAAAACAACAACUAAAACAAUAACAAGAGCAAAGAACAACAAAACGUCAACACCAAGAAGAAGAACAACAACAAGAAAAAUAAUGAGAGAAAAACAAGAACAAGAACAAGACCACUAACAAAAACAAGAAGAAAACAAAGUGAUAAAAAAACAGCAACUAAAACAAUAACAAGAGCAAGAACAACAAAACAUCAACACCAAGAAGAACAACAACAACAAGAAAAAUAAUGAGAGAAAAACAAGAACAACAACAACAACAACAACAAUAACAACAGCAACACAACAACAACACAUUCGAGCAACACAUUCAUCUAAGUGCCGCCAGAGAAGCAGCCAAACACUCGGGUCAGUAGUGUUCCAAGAGCCCUGUGUUGCAGCUUGAAGCACUGAGGCUGGGAGUGCAUUGUGGAGCUGCGCCACUGGAACGCCGGAGCACUGGAGCACCUGAGGCCUUACCUGGAGAGCUGGACAAAGAAAAUCGAAUUGAAUCUAAACAGCGUAUGUGUGUGUGUCCCUGCCCUUGGAACUCCCUGCCUGCUCCUGUAUCUCCUCCUUCCUGCGACUUGAACUCCUUCGGUAGGGAGGUUUCAAGACACCUACCCUCCAAUUUCUGACAGUCGUUCCUGAUUCUGUUUAGGGAGUGGCAUCUCAGUGGGCCUCUUUUUUUUUUUUCUCUCUCCGUCUAAUUUUUGUUGUCUUUUGUUUGUUUGUGUUGGUGCAUUGAUCUCUUUCCUAAGUGUACCCGCGACUCCGCCUUUGUGUCUGUGUACCGUCAUAACUUUGUAAAAUGGUACACGUUAUGUUUUCUGAGGUUUCUGAGGCUACUUUUAUUUCUAGCAUUUGCGUAAUUACUUUCAUAAGUUUUUAAAAGGUGCAUUUUUCUGUUUUCCAUUAUAAUUGUACUGUAUCUUUGUACCAUCCUGUACUCACGAUAAAACACGUACCUGUA